UCCGUAAGGAUAUGGUAGGGGAGCGUUCUGUAGGUCUGCGAAGGUGAGGGGUAACCCUUGCUGGAGGUAUCAGAAGUGCGAAUGCUGACAUGAGUAGCGAUAAACAGGGUGAAAAGCACCCUCGCCGAAAGCCCAAGGUUUCCUGCGCAACGUUCAUCGGCGCAGGGUGAGUCGGCCCCUAAGGCGAGGCCGAAAGGCGUAGUCGAUGGGAAACGGGUCAAUAUUCCCGUACCGAUCACAGAUGCGAUGGGGGGACGGAGAAGGUUAGCUCAGCCGGGUGUUGGAUGUCCUGGUUUAAGCGUGUAGGCGUGCUGCCUAGGAAAAUCCGGGUGGCUUAGCUGAGGCGUGAUGACGAGGACCUUCGGGUCUGAAGUGAGUGAUACCCUGCUUCCAGGAAAAGCCUCUAAGCUUCAGUCUGUGAUUGACCGUACCGCAAACCGACACAGGUGGGCAGGAUGAAAAUUCUAAGGCGCUUGAGAGAACUCAGGAGAAGGAACUCGGCAAAUUGAUACCGUAACUUCGGGAGAAGGUAUGCCUCGGUAGCGUGUAGCGGCUUGCCCGCGAAGCGUGAUGAGGUCGCAGAGAAUCGGUGGCUGCAACUGUUUAAUAAAAACACAGCACUCUGCAAAGGCGAAAGCCGACGUAUAGGGUGUGACGCCUGCCCGGUGCCGGAAGGUUAAGUGAUGGGGUGCAAGCUCUUGAUCGAAGCCCCGGUAAACGGCGGCCGUAACUAUAACGGUCCUAAGGUAGCGAAAUUCCUUGUCGGGUAAGUUCCGACCUGCACGAAUGGCGUAACGAUGGCCACACUGUCUCCUCCUGAGACUCAGCGAAGUUGAAAUGUUUGUGAUGAUGCAAUCUACCCGCGGCUAGACGGAAAGACCCCAUGAACCUUUACUGUAGCUUUGCAUUGGACUUUGACGGGACUUGUGUAGGAUAGGUGGGAGGCUGUGAGGCGUGGUCGCCAGAUCGCGCGGAGCCAACCUUGAAAUACCACCCUGGUGUCGUUGAGGUUCUAACCUUGGUCCGUGAAUCCGGAUCGGGGACCGUGCAUGGCAGGCAGUUUGACUGGGGCGGUCUCCUCCCAAAGAGUAACGGAGGAGUACGAAGGUCGUCUAAGCACGGUCGGACAUCGUGCUCAUAGUGCAAUGGCAAAAGAAGGCUUGACUGCGAGACUGACAAGUCGAGCAGAUGCGAAAGCAGGACAUAGUGAUCCGGUGGUUCUGUAUGGAAGGGCCAUCGCUCAACGGAUAAAAGGUACUCUGGGGAUAACAGGCUGAU
rnacentral:rRNA from 1 species